UGGGGAAUAUUGCACAAUGGGGGGAACCCUGAUGCAGCCAUGCCGCGUGAAUGAAGAAGGCCUUCGGGUUGUAAAGUUCUUUCGGUGACGAAGAAGGUUGGUAGGUUAAUAGCCUAUCAAAUUGACGUUAAUCACAGAAGAAGCACCGGCUAACUCCGCGCCAGCAGCCGCGGUAAUACGGGGGGUGCGAGCGUUAAUCGGAAUAACUGGGCGUAAAGGGCACGCAGGCGGUGACUUAAGUGAGAUGUGAAAGCCCCGAGCUUAACUUGGGAAUUGCAUUUCAUACUGGGUCGCUAGAGUACUUUAGGGAGGGGUAGAAUUCCACGUGUAGCGGUGAAAUGCGUAGAGAUGUGGAGGAAUACCGAAGGCGAAGGCAGCCCCUUGGGAAUGUACUGACGCUCAUGUGCGAAAGCGUGGGGAGCAAACAGGAUUAGAUACCCUGGUAGUCCACGCUGUAAACGAUGUCGAUUUGGGGAUUGGGCUUUGAGCUUGGUGCCCGUAGCUAACGUGAUAAAUCGACCGCCUGGGGAGUACGGCCGCAAGGUUA
rnacentral:rRNA from 1 species